UCUCCUGGACACAGACUUUUUUGGCAGC
rnacentral:piRNA from 1 species